CCAUUUUGAUAAUGUAGUUGAACUGUAGCGGAAAACCAGGCUCUUGCACUGGAAUAUGUAGUCAUUUUAGCUGAAGAAAGAUACCAGGAUCGAGAAUUCUACUCGAAUUGCCACAUUUUAUCACGAAGUUCAAUGAAAAGAUGUUGUUUAUGCUCGAAGUCAUAAAAAAUGAACCAGAAUGUGAAACUGCAUAGAGAGAUGACAAGAAUCAGGACUUGUCAAGAUUUUCGGCUCAUGGGAAGAAGACCUUGGCUAGAAUUGCAGCUGCCCUGGGCAUGGAAACACGAUUUGAAUGAUAUGACAGCAUUACUUACAGAAGUUGUCAAUGAACAUAUCCACCCUCGCAUUUGUUGGCAGCUCUAAAUACAAUUAAAGAAUUUUCCAAGCAUUUGAGCCUGGAAUUUC